rnacentral:rRNA from 1 species
AUUGAACGCUGGCGGCAGGCCUAACACAUGCAAGUCGAGCGAGCGGCGGACGGGUGAGUAAUGUCUGGGAAACUGCCUGAUGGAGGGGGAUAACUACUGGAAACGGUAGCUAAUACCGCAUACCAUCAGAUGUGCCCAGAUGGGAGUAGCUAGUAGGGGGGGUAACGGCUCACCUAGACGACGAUCCCUAGCUGGUCUGAGAGGAUGACCAUGCACACAGGAACUGGGACACGGUCCAGACUCAUACGGGAGGCAGCAGUGGGGAAUAUUGCACAAUGGGCGAAAGCCUGAUGAAGCCAUGCCGCGUGUGUGAUGAAGGCCUUCGGGUUGUAAAGCACGUUCAGCGGGGAGGCGUUACCCGCAGAAGAAGCACCGGCUAACUCCGUGCCAGCAGCCGCGGUAAUAC